rnacentral:rRNA from 1 species
AUUGAACGCUGGCGGCAUGCUUUACACAUGCCAGUCGAACGGCAGCGCGGGCUUCGGCCUGGCGGCGAGUGGCGAUCGGGUGAGUAAUGCAUCGGAACGUGCCCAGUAGUGGGGGAUAGCCCGGCGAAAGCCGGAUUAAUACCGCAUACGACCUGAGGGUGAAAGCGGGGGACCGAAAGGCCUCGCGCUAUUGGAGCGGCCGAUGUCGGAUUAGCUAGUUGGUGGGGUAAAGGCUUACCAAGGCGACGAUCCGUAGCUGGUCUGAGAGGACGACCAGCCACACUGGGACUGAGACACGGCCCAGACUCCUACGGGAGGCAGCAGUGGGGAAUUUUGGACAAUGGGGGCAACCCUGAUCCAGCCAUGCCGCGUGCGGGAAGAAGGCCUUCGGGUUGUAAACCGCUUUUGUUCGGGAAGAAAUCCUCUGGGCUAAUACCCCGGGGGGAUGACGGUACCGGAAGAAUAAGCACCGGCUAACUACGUG